rnacentral:rRNA from 1 species
UACGUAGGGUGUGAGCGUUGUCCGGAUUUAUUGGGCGUAAAGAGCGUGUAGGCGGCCAGGUAGGUCUGCUGUGAAAACUCGAGGCUCAACCUCGAGACGUCGGCGGAAACCAUCUGGCUAGAGUCCGGAAGAGGAGAGUGGAAUUCCUGGUGUAGCGGUGAAAUGCGCAGAUAUCAGGAAGAACACCCGUGGCGAAGGCGGCUCUCUGGGACGGUACUGACGCUGAGACGCGAAAGCGUGGGGAGCGAACAGG